AGGACGAACGCUGGCGGCGUGCUUAACACAUGCAAGUCAAGGGGGCCCGCAAGGGUAACCGGCGAACGGGUGCGUAACACGUGAGCGACCUGCCGAUCUGCGGGGGAUAGCCGGCCCAACGGCCGGGUAAUACCGCAUACGCUCUUCUUGGGUCACCCUGAGAUGAGGAAACUUCCGGGGCGGAUCGAGGGGCUCGCGGCCUAUCAGCUAGUUGGCGAGGUAACGGCUCACCAAGGCGACGACGGGUAGCUGGUCUGAGAGGAUGGCCAGCCACAUUGGGACUGAGAAACGGCCCAGACUCCUACGGGAGGCAGCAGUGGGGAAUAUUGCGCAAUGGCCGCAAGGCUGACGCAGCGACGCCGCGUGUGGGAGGACGCCUUUCGGGUGUAAACCACUGUUGCCCGGGACGAACAACUGGCAUUGGCCAGUCUGACGGUACCGGUGAGGAAGCACCGGCUAACUCCGCGCCAGCAGCCGC
rnacentral:rRNA from 1 species